UACGUAUGGUGCAAGCGUUGUCCGGAAUCAUUGGGCGUAAAGCGCGCGUAGGCGGCCCGAUAAGUCCGCUGUAAAAGUCAACGGCUCAACUGUUGAAAGCCGGUGGAUACUGUCGGGCUAGAGUACGGAAGAGGCAAGUGGAAUUCCUGGUGUAGCGGUGAAAUGCGUAGAUAUCGGAAGGAACAUCAGUGGCGAAAGCGACUUCCUGGUCCAGCAUCGACGUUCAGGCACGAAAGCGUGGGGAGCAAACAGG
rnacentral:rRNA from 1 species